GAUUAACGCUGGCGGCGCACAUAAGACAUGCAAGUCGAACGGAAGUCGUUAUAACUCAGAACGAAGAUUUAUCUGAGGGGCGAGAUAUAACAAUGGCUUUAGUGGCGGACUGGUGAGUAACACGUAAGAAACCUGCCUAUUAGAGGGGAAUAACAACGAGAAAUCGUUGCUAAUACCGCAUAAGCUAGUAGUACCGCAUGGUACAGCUAGAAAAGGAGAAAUCCGCUAAUAGAUGGUCUUGCGUCCGAUUAGCUAGUUGGUGGGGUAACGGCCUACCAAGGCAACGAUCGGUAGCCGAGCUGAGAGGCUCAACGGCCACAUUGGGACUGAGAUACGGCCCAGACUCCUACGGGAGGCAGCAGUCGGGAAUAUUGCGCAAUGGAGGAAACUCUGACGCAGUGACGCCGCGUAUAGGAAGAAGGUUUUCGGAUUGUAAGCUAUUUUAGACAGGGAAGAAAUUGACAGUACCUGUAGAAUAAG
rnacentral:rRNA from 1 species